GGCUCGAGGACGAACGCUGGCGGCGUGCCUAAUACAUGCAAGUCGAACGGUCUUUCUAUGGAAGCUUGCUUCCACUGAGAAGAUAGUGGCGAACGGGUGAGUAACACGUGGGUAACCUGCCCAUAAGAGGGGGAUAACAUCCGGAAACGGGUGCUAAUACCGCAUAGUUUUCUUGAUCGCAUGAUCGGGAAAGGAAAGACGGCCUUUGUGCUGUCGCUUAUGGAUGGACCCGCGGCGUAUUAGUUAGUUGGUGAGGUAACGGCUCACCAAGACGAUGAUACGUAGCCGACCUGAGAGGGUGAUCGGCCACAUUGGGACUGAGACACGGCCCAAACUCCUACGGGAGGCAGCAGUAGGGAAUCUUCCGCAAUGGACGAAAGUCUGACGGAGCAACGCCGCGUGAGUGAAGAAAGGUUUUCGGAUCGUAAAACUCUGUUGUCAGAGAAGAACAAGUUGGAGAGUAACUGCUCCAGCCUUGACGGUAUCUGACCAGAAAGCCACGGCUAACUACGUGCCAGCCGCUGC
rnacentral:rRNA from 1 species